rnacentral:lncRNA from 1 species
AGAGAAGACGUAAGACCAGUUCUGCAUUCAAUAGCAGAUAAUUUUUACACAUUUGUAUCCAAACUCGAAAUAUAGAACAGAUACUCAUUUACACGAUUUUGGUGACACCAGAGGGUAAUAAAUCAAACUGUAAAGCCUAAUUAAUGCACCAAUGUCAAACAACGUCAAACUGGAAAGCCUAAUUAAUGCACCAAUGUCAAACAACGUGGACAACAUCAGACUGCAUUGGCAGCACAGGUAUGGAAUGAACUAAUUAAGCUCCUCUUCAGGCAGAUCGUGAAGUUCAGAGAAGCUUUGAUAUAACAUGACA